rnacentral:rRNA from 1 species
AAUGAACGUUGGCGGCGUGGAUUAGGCAUGCAAGUCGAGCGAGAAGUUUACUUCGGUAAAUGGACAGCGGCGAAAGGGACAGUAAUGUGUAGGUACCUACCCCCCGAUCUGGGAUAGCUGCGGGAAACUGCAGGCAAUACCGGAUAAUGUCUUCGGACCAAAGGUGUGAUUCCGUCAGGGGAGGGGCCUGCAUCCUAUUAGCUUGUUGGUGAGGUAAUGGCUCACCAAGGCAACGAUGGGUAGCGGGUGUGAGAGCAUGACCCGCGUCAUUGGGACUGAGACACUGCCCAGACAUCUACGGAUGGCUGCAGUCGAGAAUCUUCGGCAAUGGGCGAAAGCCUGACCGAGCGACGCCGCGUGCGGGAUGAAGGCCUUCGGGUUGUAAACCGCUGUCGUUGGGGAGGAAAUGCAAAAGGGUUAUCCCUUCUGUUUGACCGAUCCAAGGAGGAAGUACGGGCUAAGUUCGUGCCAGCAGCCGCGGUAAGACGAACCGUACGAACGUUAUUCGGAAUUACUGGGCUUAAAGGGUGCGUAGGCUGCACGGAAAGUUGGGUGUGAAAGCCCUCAGCUCAACUGAGGAAUUGCAUCCAAAACUGCCGUGCUUGAGGGAGACAGAGGUGAGCGGAACUCAAGGUGGAGCGGUGAAAUGCGUUGAUAUCUUGAGGAACACCGGUGGCGAAAGCGGCUCACUGGGUCUCUUCUGACGCUGAGGCACGAAAGCUAAGGUAGCAAACGGG